rnacentral:lncRNA from 1 species
UCUUUACAGGAAGUUGGGAAGAGCAGAAAAUUGUGUUAUUACUUCAGAACACAACAUUAUUUCCUUAGAAAAAGAAGGAUUUUUGUUGGGAACAUAGAGUAAGGGAUGGGUUAUCUAUCAGAGUAAAUGUUUAAAUUCCAAGUUAAUAUGCUUGCAAACAUCACUGCUCUGUCAUGGCACCGGCAGUUGGUUGAAAUUACCCACAGAGCCAUCCUAUUAUAUGCUAUCACCAUGGACUUCACAUCGUGUGCUGCCACUAAGUCAGUAGCAUUUAAUCCCAGCAUAUGUGAGUUUAAAGGAAUGCAGUCUCCUGUUCUUCAAAGCUUAUAUCUUAGAUACUGUUUAUGACCUAGGUUGACCUUUGACAUUUCACACAGGUUGAACAGCAAAAUCAAACCAACCACUUUAAAUUUGUCAUUCCCAAGCCAUAUCUGAGUGGUUCCAAAGUCAUUCAAGAGGAAGGUUUAAAUUAUCCCUGCUAACCCCACCAUUGCUAUGAAAGAGCACCCAUUUUCAUUCCAAUUAAGCCAUAAAGAGGUUUCUUUCUUGUUGGAUUUUGAAAAUAAUUGGUUUCAUUCUUUCUUUUGCCCUUCUUCCUUCCAGUGUUGUACUGUUUCCCCUCUGUGAGCAGACUAAAUCUUCCUGCAGAGAGGAAUAAGCUGACACUCUCUAAGCUUCUUAAGGAAGGACCUAAAGCUCAAUUGGCAUUAACCUCUAGUAGGUGAGAAAUUUCAAAUAACUC